rnacentral:tRNA from 1 species
GCCUGGGUGGCUCAGUUGGUUGAGCCUCCGACUUCGGCUCAGGUCAUGAUCUCAUGACUCGUGAGUUUGAGUCCCACAUCAGGCU